GGGUGGUGUAGUGGUUAGAGUGUUGGACUAAGACCCCGGAGACUAGGGUUCAAAUCCCUACAGAGCCA